UACGUAGGGUGCGAGCGUUGUCCGGAAUUAUUGGGCGUAAAGAGCUCGUAGGCGGUGUGUCGCGUCGGCCGUGAAAACCUGGGGCUCAACUCUGGGCGUGCGGUCGAUACGGGCAUCACUGGAGUUCGGCAGGGGAGACUGGAAUUCCUGGUGUAGCGGUGAAAUGCGCAGAUAUCAGGAGGAACACCGGUGGCGAAGGCGACUUCCUGGACCAAUACUGACGCUCAUGUGCGAAAGCGUGGGGAGCAAACAGG
rnacentral:rRNA from 1 species